AUCGAUGAAGAACGCAGCGAAAUGCGAUAAGUAAUGUGAAUUGCAGAAUUCAGUGAAUCAUCGAAUCUUUGAACGCACAUUGCGCCCAUURGUAUUCYAGUGGGCAUGCCUGUUCGAGCGUCAUUUCAACCCUUAAGCCUAGCUUAGUGUUGGGWAUCUACUGUAUUGUAGUUCCUGAAAUACAACGGCGGAUCUGUAAUAUCCUCUGAGCGUAGUAWAUUUUUUCUCGCUUUGGUUAGGUGUUGCAGCUCUCAGCCGCUAAACCCCCCAAUUUUAAUGGUUGACCUCGGAUCAGGUAGGAAUACCCGCUGAACUUAWGCAUAUCAAUAAGCGGAGGAAAAGAAACCAACAGGGAUUGCCCUAGUAACGGCGAGUGAAGCGGCAACAGCUCAAAUUUGAAAUCUGGCCCUUGGGUCCGAAUUGUAAUUUGUAGAGGAUGUUUUUGGUGCGGUAUCUUCCGAGUUCCUUGGAACAGGACGCCUUAGAGGGUGAGAGCCCCGUAYGGUUGAAUGCCUAGCCUCUGUAAAACUCCUUCGACGAGUCGAGUAGUUUGGGAAUGCUGCUCUAAAUGGGAGGUAAAUUUCUUCUAAAGCUAAAUACUGGCCAGAGACSGAUAGCGCACAAGWAGAGWGAUMGAAAGAUGAAAAGCACUUUGAAAAGAGGGUUAAAUAGCACGUGAAAUUGUUGAAAGGGAAGGAUUUAUGACCAGACUUKUUCUGGGYGGAUMAUCSGGUGUUCUCACCGGUGCACUUUGCCCAGUKUMGGCCAGCAUCGAUKUUCGGUGGGGGAUAAAAGCUUUAGGAAUGUGGCUCUUUCGGGAGUGUUAUAGCCUAUUGUAUAAUACCCUACUGGGGAUCGAGGUACGCGCUUCKGCAAGGAUGCUGGCGUAAUGGUUAUCAAUCACCCGUCUUGAAACACGG
rnacentral:rRNA from 1 species